rfam:Sarcoptes scabiei Contig11245, whole genome shotgun sequence.
AUCGUAGGCGAUAUGGUUCCACAAACCUAUGCUGGUAUGAUUGUUGGUGCCUUGUGUGCUUUGGCUGGUGUUCUUACCAUAGCGCUUCCGGUUCCAGUUAUUGUCUCGAAU